GCUAAGAACUUCGUAUCUUGGAGGCAACAGUCGUAUGCAUUGGCGAAAGCAUUGCCAGCUAUCAGUAUUAGUUCGGCCGUCCUCAUGUGCGCACUCGAGGCGCUCUACGCGACACCGUUACGACCAUUUCAUUAGAGAAAAACGAACUUUUACGCGUAUGAGACUUCGAUGUGAUAGAGUGAGGUUAACCGGAACAAAAACAGUAUCGGGAAGUAAAAUAAUUUUAAAACGUUGACACUUGUUUUAAUAGCAUUAAUUAAUAAUAAAGAAAUAAAAAAGAUAAAAAAGAAAAAAGAAAAGUGUUUUUCCAAGAUACGAUUUGUCGAAACAAUCGAAUGUUUGAUUAUUCUCUUCCUUGUUUAACCGGUUAAUCGAUAGAAGAUUAUUAAUAACUUUUAUUGUUGCGGCAAUAACGUCAGUGUAAACGAACAGUAUCUUCUGAUUUAUGUUUAAAAUCUUUUAUAUACAAUCGUUGAUGAAAAUGUCCAGUGAUUGUUGAUAUUACGUAAAAAAUAUACGUGCGGAAUAUGAAUCGUGUUGCAACGUAAAGAUAAAUAAUCGAAUUAAAUUAGUUUUAUUCGCAUAAUUCUUCACAACUCGUGUAAUCCAUUUGAAAUAAGUCAUUCGCGAAGCCGUAUCGAAUAACCGGUCUUUUUUUUCCUUUCUCGUCCUUUGCUUCUGUCAGCGAACGAGUCCGGAUAUACGCUUGUUUUUCAUAACGGUCUGGAAGUAAACAAAACAGUCUGUUCGAUCGGUCAUUGGUAACAGAAAUAGUCCCGAUGAAAAUGGACGGAUAUUAACGGUACGAUUUUGCAUGUGUGUGCAUGUGCGUACAUAUGCGUACGUAUAUAUCAAGAGAAGAUAAAAGAGUCGGAAAAUCUUGGAUUGAUAUCUAAGAAAUCUUAUUUAAACAUCAUUCUUGCGAUAAAAAUCAAGUAAAAUCUUUGUAUAAUGGAAAAUUAAUGAAAUUAACAGUGUUUUUUGAAAUUUCGUGAAAUGUGUCAUAUUGUUGCAUCCAUGAUGGCGACAGGAUUUCGCAGGAUGUCAAAAAAUUGUUCAACGGGACUUGAUCUUAAAUAAGAACGAUCGAUUGAUUCUGCAAUUCUAUAUUGCAUUAAGUUAAUAUUCUGUUUAAGAUGAUUUAAAAAUCUAUCAAAAAUUAUGAAGAUAUGGAAAUUUUAAUCGGAUAAUCAAAAAUUAUGAGAAAAUUUUUUUAAACAUUUAUCAGUAAUUUUUGUUUAAAAAUUUGAAUUUAUUAACUAUUUUUAUGUAUAAAAAAUAAUCAUAUAAAAGUGUCCAAUAUCAAAAAAUUUAUAUGAAUUGAAGAAUUUUUAAGAAACAAAUUAAUCUCGAGCGUUUUCGGCCCGAUAAAAUUUGAAUGAAUUGUAGAAGAUCAACUUAAAUUUUAUCAUACGCGAGACUAUUUAAAGUUGAUAUUGUGAAAUAUAAGAUGAUGAUACGUGGUGUGUUGUAAAUGUUUUGGCAAAUGAGAACAUCUUGAUAUUUUCGAGGAUCGAAACUGCUAUUGUGACUUUUACAAGGAUUAGAAGAACAAGUGUCGCUGCGUCAUGAAUACACCGCAAGAGCCGAAGCAGUACCGUUCGCCGUAUGGGUGCCUGGGUUGACGAUCGUUUCGCGGCGGAGGAGGCGGUCCCGAUU